rnacentral:rRNA from 1 species
GACGAACGCUGGCGGCGUGCUUAACACAUGCAAGUCGAACGGAGAAGCCCCUUUUGGGGGGUACGCGAGUGUCGAACAGGUGAGUGACACAUGAGUAACCUGCGCUUUUCUCUGGGAUAAAUUCAGGAAACUGUGGGUAAUACCGGAGAUGCGCUCCUUCUGCACAGUGUGGGUUGUGAAAUUUGUUCGGUUGGGGAUGGACUCGCGGCUUAUCAGCUUGUUGGUGGGGUAGUGGUUUACCAAGGCUGUGACGGGUAGCCGGCCUGAGAGGGUGACCGGCCACAUUGGGACUGAGAUACGGCCCAGACUCCUACGGGAGGCAGCAGUGGGGAAUAUUGCACAAUGGGUGGAAGCCUGAUGCAGCGACGCCGUGUGCGGGAUGACGGCCUUCGGGUUGUAAACCGCUUUCGGCCAUGAAGAAGCUUUGUGUGACGGUAGUUGCAGAAGAAGCACCGGCUAACUACGUG